rnacentral:rRNA from 1 species
AGUCGGGCGAGAAAAGGUAGCAAUACCUUAGUAAAGCGGCGCACGGGUGAGUAACACGUGGAUAACCUGCCUCGAAGUGGGGAAUAACCCCGGGAAACCGGAGCUAAUACCGCAUAAUCUGAUGAGAUCUGUGGAUUUUGUCAGCAAAGGAGCAAUUCGCUUUGAGAGGGGUCCGCGGCUGAUUAGCUAGUUGGUGAGGUAAUGGCUCACCAAGGCCACGAUCAGUAGCCGGUCUGAGAGGACGGUCGGCCACACUGGAACUGAGACACGGUCCAGACUCCUACGGGAGGCAGCAGUGGGGAAUUUUUCGCAAUGGGGGCAACCCUGACGAAGCAACGCCGCGUGGGUGAUGAAGUAUUUCGGUACGUAAAACCCUUUCGACGGGGACGAAACCGCAAGGUUGACGGUACCCGUAGAAGAAGCCCCGGCUAACUCCGUGCCAGCAGCCGCGGUAAUACGGGGGGGGCAAGCGUUGUUCGGAAUUACUGGGCGUAAAGGGCGCGUAGGCGGCUCGCUAAGUUGGAUGUGAAAACUCUGGGCUUAACCCAGAGCCUGCAUCCAAAACUGGCAAGCUUGAGUACUGGAGGGGAAAGCGGAAUUCCUGGUGUAGCGGUGAAAUGCGUAGAUAUCAGGAGGAACACCGGUGGCGAAGGCGGCUUUCUGGACAGUAACUGACGCUGAGGCGCGAAAGCUAGGGGAGCAAACAGGAUUAGAUACCCUGGUAGUCCUAGCCCUAAACGAUGAAUACUUGGUGUGAGGGGGAUUGAGUCCCUUCGUGCCGUAGCUAACGCAAUAAGUAUCCCGCCUGGGGAGUACGGUCGCAAGGCUGAAGCUCAAAGGAAUUGACGGGGGCCCGCACA